AUUGAACGCUGGCGGCAGGCCUAACACAUGCAAGUCGAACGGUAACAGAAAGCAGCUUGCUGCUUUGCUGACGAGUGGCGGACGGGUGAGUAAUGUCUGGGAAACUGCCUGAUGGAGGGGGAUAACUACUGGAAACGGUAGCUAAUACCGCAUAACGUCGCAAGACCAAAGAGGGGGACCUUCGGGCCUCUUGCCAUCGGAUGUGCCCAGAUGGGAUUAGCUAGUAGGUGGGGUAACGGCUCACCUAGGCGACGAUCCCUAGCUGGUCUGAGAGGAUGACCAGCCACACUGGAACUGAGACACGGCCCAGACUCCUACGGGAGGCAGCAGUGGGGAAUAUUGCACAAUGGGCGCAAGCCUGAUGCAGCCAUGCCGCGUGUAUGAAGAAGGCCUUCGGGUUGUAAAGUACUUUCAGCGGGGAGGAAGGGAGUAAAGUUAAUACCUUUGCUCAUUGACGUUACCCGCAGAAGAAGCACCGGCUAACUCCGUG
rnacentral:rRNA from 1 species